CAGUAGCCGCGGUAAUACGAAGGGUGCAAGCGUUAAUCGGAAUUACUGGGCGUAAAGCGUGCGUAGGCGGUGAGUUAAGUCUGCUGUGAAAUCCCCGGGCUCAACCUGGGAAUGGCAGUGGAUACUGGCUCGCUAGAGUGUGUCAGAGGAUGGUGGAAUUCCCGGUGUAGCGGUGAAAUGCGUAGAGAUCGGGAGGAACAUCAGUGGCGAAGGCGGCCAUCUGGGACAACACUGACGCUGAGGCACGAAAGCGUGGGGAGCAAACAGGAUUAGAGACCCCGGUAGUCCCUGUCUCUUAACC
rnacentral:rRNA from 1 species